UUAAAGAAAGCGUAAUAGCUCACUGGUCGAGUCGGCCUGCGCGGAAGAUGUAACGGGGCUAAGUAGUAAACCGAAGCUGCGGCAAUGUGCUUUUGCACAUUGGGUAGGGGAGCGUUCUGUAAGCGGUUGAAGGUGUGUGGUAACGCAUGCUGGACGUAUCAGAAGUGCGAAUGCUGACAUGAGUAACGAUAAAGGGGGUGAAAAACCUCCUCGCCGGAAGACCAAGGGUUCCUGUCCAACGUUAAUCGGGGCAGGGUAAGUCGACCCCUAAGGCGAGGCCGAAAGGCGUAGUCGAUGGGAAACGGGUUAAUAUUCCCGUACUUCUUACAAUUGCGAUGGGGGGACGGAGAAGGCUAGGUGGGCCUGGCGACGGUUGUCCAGGUUCAAGUGCGUAGGCUUAAGAGUUAGGUAAAUCCGGCUCUUUUUAAGGCUGAGACACGACGUCGAGCAUCUACGGAUGUGAAGUCAUUGAUGCCAUGCUUCCAGGAAAAGCCUCUAAGCUUCAGAUUGUAAGGAAUCGUACCCCAAACCGACACAGGUGGUCGGGUAGAGAAUACCAAGGCGCUUGAGAGAACUCGGGUGAAGGAACUAGGCAAAAUGGUACCGUAACUUCGGGAGAAGGUACGCUCUUGAUGGUGAAGUCCCUUGCGGAUGGAGCUGACGAGAGUCGCAGAUACCAGGUGGCUGCAACUGUUUAUUAAAAACACAGCACUGUGCAAAAUCGUAAGAUGACGUAUACGGUGUGACGCCUGCCCGGUGCCGGAAGGUUAAUUGAUGGGGUUAGACUUC
rnacentral:rRNA from 1 species